rnacentral:lncRNA from 1 species
GUGAUCGGCUGGGGGGCAAAGUAUACAAGUGUAAUCGGCUGGGGGUCAGAGCUAGCGUGUAUGAUCGGCUAGGAGAGAUAGCCGACGCAAGAGUCCUCGAUGAAAAUCCGUUGGGCCAAGAGCCGGACUGGGAACGUAAAAAACCACCGAGUAAACCAGUGAGCCCCAGAUGGUGCCCAGAUGGUUUGAGCAAAUCCCAGAAGAGAAGGGUCCAGCGUUUGCUCCA